rnacentral:rRNA from 3 species
GCUCCCGGAUUCAGCGGCGGACGGGUGAGUAAUGCCUAGGAAUCUGCCUGGUAGUGGGGGACAACGUUUCGAAAGGAACGCUAAUACCGCAUACGUCCUACGGGAGAAAGCAGGGGACCUUCGGGCCUUGCGCUAUCAGAUGAGCCUAGGUCGGAUUAGCUGGUUGGUGAGGUAACGGCUCACCAAGGCGACGAUCCGUAACUGGUCUGAGAGGAUGAUCAGUCACACUGGAACUGAGACACGGUCCAGACUCCUACGGGAGGCAGCAGUGGGGAAUAUUGGACAAUGGGCGAAAGCCUGAUCCAGCCAUGCCGCGUGUGUGAAGAAGGUCUUCGGAUUGUAAAGCACUUUAAGCCGGGAGGAAGGGCUGUAGGCUAAUAUCCUGCAGUUUUGACGUUACCGGCAGAAUAAGCACCGGCUAACUCUGUGCCAGCAGCCGCGGUAAUACAGAGGGUGCAAGCGUUAAUCGGAAUUACUGGGCGUAAAGCGCGCGUAGGUGGUUGAUCAAGUUGGAUGUGAAAGCCCCGGGCUCAACCUGGGAACUGCAUCCAAAACUGGUCGGCUAGAGUACGGUAGAGGGUGGUGGAAUUUCCUGUGUAGCGGUGAAAUGCGUAGAUAUAGGAAGGAACACCAGUGGCGAAGGCGACCACCUGGACUGAUACUGACACUGAGGUGCGAAAGC